CGGGGGCGGGACGUGGACUCGCGGCCGCGGCCCCGGCUCCCCUCGGUCCCCGCUGGCAGCGGCCGCGUGGGUCGCGUCCGGGGGCCUGGCGUUCCCUGCACGAAGCGCCCUGAGUGAGCAAAGCUCGAGCCUGGACCCCGAGCUGCGUCCCGGGGCGGCUGUGGGUGGGGCCCGCGGGCCGGGGGUUCCCUCCCGCGCCUCCUCCCUCCGCCCGCGCCCCCGGCCGCCUCCACCUGGGUCCUCGCCUCGCUGUCGCCCGAGGGCUCGGGGGCGCUCCGAGGCCAGCGAGACUCCAGCCCCAGCCGGCGCCCGGGUUCUCGACACCGUCCGGAGAAAGAACUCGGGGUCGGGUCAGAAGGAAGCGAGAGGCUGGAAGCGAAGCGAAGCUGCUGCUUGGGUUUUCCAUCCUCCUGAGACCACCGGUGCAAUUCCCAAUUCCCAUCUCAACGCCACCGCCC
rnacentral:lncRNA from 1 species